UAAGGUAAUAGGAUCUGACAA
rnacentral:misc_RNA from 1 species